ACCACCCUAACCUCAAAGUCAUCUUCUCCACCACCACCCAUCCACCCAACAACCCUUAUCCCAGGUCAUCUUUUUCAUUUGCCCUCCCCCACCCCCUACCCCGUAAACCCCGAAGUCGUCUUCUCCAUUCCCCUCCACCCAUCCCAAACUCCUACCAAAGUCAUCUCAUCUUCUCCAUUUGCCCCCAUCCGCCCCCUCUUCUCAAAUAAAAAUAAUCCCAAAUUCAGCAUAAACAUUUUGAAGUAUUUAUAUGUACUAAGAAGAAACAUCCUUGUGGUUGUUCGUGAAUACUCAUCUAAUGCAUAGAAGCAAGCAGAGAAGAAUUUAUUGUUCAAUGUUCUCCAAAAAUCAAGAAACUUUUUUCUAUUGGAGACUGAUUAGAACAGGUUUUGCUAUUAUUCUUUCCAUUUGGUUUCACCAGAAAUGGAGACGGUUAAGACGGCGCUGGACUGGUAAAGGUGGCCCCAGAUCUGGUUUCAGAGAAAUAUGGUCAGCUGAAAACAUGAAAAGGGGAAGAGAUCAUACUAGCUGACGGGAUGCACCGGUUGGUGGUUUGCAUGGGUUUUCAGGCCAUAUUUGACCGACUGUUUGAAAAAUUCGGCGAUGGAUGGCUGAUUCCGACGGGGAUUCACCGAUGCUAAUGGAGCGGAUCCGGUGAGGGAAGUGGGGGCGGCGGCAGCGGAUCACUAGCCUUGGAUGUUUCUGGCGAUGGUGGUUUUUCGCUAUUUUUCUGGCGAAGAGGGUCGCCGGAAUGGCGACGAGACAGAUUGGUUUUGGGUGGUUUUGGCGAUUUCCAGCGCUUUGGUUCGCUGAUGGAGAGAAUCGAUUGAUUUUGGUGGGGGUUUCGGGUGAGGUUAUUAUCGCCGCUAUGACGUGGAUUUCGGCUGAAUCUGGUGGUUCUGACAUUGGUUUCGCCAUUAAUGGCAUCAUCGGUGAUGGGUUUUGGGGAACGAAAUUGAGUUGCUGGUUUCCUUAGCGAUUUCAGAGAAAAAUCUUGCCGGAAAAUCUAUAUAUUUUAUUUUUUAUAUUGAUUCUUUGAUUUUAUAUUACGCGCAAUCUGUUACCUUUUCUUUUAUUUUUCUUCAUUAUUUUCUCAUCUCCGAUCUCUCACUGUGUGUGCAGAUAUGUACAUAUGUUUUACUGCCCGCAUAUGUUGUACUGUAAUCAUAUAAAAUAUGGAGAAGAUGACUAUACUCUCAA